rnacentral:lncRNA from 1 species
AUUGUAACAGAUCUAGAAUCAUACCUUUGAAUUCCUUGUUGAUCUUGUUGUCUUGGAGCUUCUAGAGUCACAAUUGUCACUCCUCUAAUGGCUUACAAACACCAAAUAGCAAGGAGGAUGAUUUGGGAGAGAGGAGAGGGGAGGAAAUCGGCCAGGAUUUCUAUCCUUUAGAUGAAGUGCCGAUUUCCCUUUGCCAUAGGGUCUAUUUAUACUUGUAGACUCCUUAAGGGUUAUAACCUAAACCCUAAUUAGAUAAUCUUCUCUUAAGGCUAUACAAAUCCAUUCCUUAGAUAACUCUUGGAUGGUUUGAGCUAUCCUUUAGCUUCUAGAAUCCGUCCAAUCCAUAUCUAUAUGGAUUUACAGUCUAAAGUUUAACUAUCAAACAAUUGACAGUUUAUACCCUCUUAUUUAAUUAAUCUCUUUAAGUCACCAAAUUAAUUCCAAUUAAUUCUAUGACUUAUAUUAAUCAAAUAACAAUAUAUUAUUCUUUAUAUUAUUCUCAUAAUAUACUAAUAAUAUUUACUCUCUCUUAAUAAAUCAUCCUAUCAAGUUGCUAUGGUGAAGGCAACCCAAAAGGACCAUGCACAACCGGGUCAAAUACUUGCCUAAUAUAGUUGCAGCCUUAGACACUAUUCCAACAGUCUCCCACUUGGAUAAGUCUAGUAACUAUAUGCACAAGUACAAUUCGGUUUGCAAUCGUAGCUCUCAAAGACGCUGUCAAACUCUGAUCUAAUCAAUCUUGUCCUUUAGAUAAGGGAUCGUACAGUCCUCUGUUAGAUAUCAUGCUGACAAUCCUAUGGAAUGGUUAGUCAAGCAUUUAGGUUUCUCGAUCUCUGAUUUAUUUGACAUAGAACUUAAUCGAACACAUCAAUUCAGUUCUGACCGGGCCCGGCACAUAAGUCAAAUCAAAUCAUCGAGCGGCCGAGAUAUCGCUUUUACCUUCUUAGAUAAAAGUUACAGAUAAACUUCGACUUAUAUGCAUUUACUUAUUCAUUAACCAACUAUACACAACAAUGCGUUUUAUAACACCGAGUUACUGAUGCGUUUUCGCAUUAUCAAUGUACAAUCAAUUAACAAAUAACAAACCAUAUAUCUAGGUUUUAAGACUAUAUGAUAUUAUCGUCUUGCGAUCACCCUUUUAUAUCAUAUUCCAUAAGGUGAUUCCAGCAAGCGCGGGUUUGUUCCAAUGCUCAAAACUAGUUCAUAAGCACUCAUGAACGUUGCAGCAACCCUUUGCUAUGUCUAACACCAUUUAGACAAUCUACACACCAAUUCAUGACAAUCUUCAUUCAUAUCUACUUCCAACAUAUGAACGAUUGUGGACAAUUUGAACAAUUCGAUUAUUCCUAAUAAACUCAAUUAUUCUGGAAGUCAAAACAUGCAAAGUGAAACAAUAGUUAAACAAUUAACAUAAGAUAGUAACAUUACUCAUAAAUAAAACUCCUUUAUUUAAUCAUCAAAUGUUAAUUACAUUUAUCUAUUACACGUUUCUAAUACUAUCUAAUCUAUGCUAAUAUCAUCCUUCAGCCCAAUACUCCUAGCAUGCUGCAAGUGCUUAACCCUACUCAGUCCCUUCGUAAGCGGAUCUGCUGGGUUAUCUUCUGAUGAUAUCCUCUUCACUACGAGUUGUCCUUCUUCUACACGAUGUCUAAUGAAGUGAUACUUUCUGUCGAUAUGUCUUGAUCUACCAUGAUCCCUCGGUUCCUUGGUCAAGGCAACCGCUCCUUCGUUAUCACAGAAAAUCUCCAUGGGCUCCUUUAUGGCAGGUACAACUCCAAGAUCACCGAUGAAGUUCUUUAGCCAUAUUGCCUCCUUCGACGCUUCGCUCGCUGCAAUGUACUCUGAUUCGCACGUUGAAUCAGCUACGGUUUCCUGCUUGGAACUCUUCCAUGUCACUGCUCCUCCAUUUAGGGUAAAGACCCAGCCCGACUGCGAACGGUAGUUGUCCCUGUCGGUCUGAAAACUGGCGUCACUAUACCCUCGCACCUUCAAGUCAUCACUCCCUCCGAGGACUAAGAACCAUUCCUUCGUCCUCCGAAGGUACUUAAGGAUAUUCUUCACCGCAAUCCAAUGUGCUCUGCCAGGAUUCCCUUGAUAUCUGCUAACCAUGCUCAAAGCGAAGGCUACAUCAGGGCGAGUACAAGUCAUAGCGUACAUGAUUGAGCCAACUGCGGAAGCGUAUGGUACUCGGCUCAUUUCUGCUAUCUCAGCUUCGGUACUCGGACUUUGAGUCUUACUCAACUUGGCAUUAAUUUGUAUCGGUAAUUCUCUCUUCUUCGAGUUUUCCAUACUAAAAUGAUUUAGUACCUUCUCUAAGUAAGUGUUCUGACUAAGUCCAGUUAGUCUCUUACCUCUUUCUCUUACUAUCCUUAUUCCUAAAAUGUAAGAAGCUUCUCCGAGGUCCUUCAUAGCGAAGCACUUCCCGAGCCAGGACUUAACCUCCUGCAGAGUCGGGAUGUCGUUUCCUAUGAGUAAUAUGUCAUCGACAUAUAGAACGAGGAAGCUUACUAUACUCCCACUGGCUUUGACAUAUACACAAGAUUCGUCUUCGCUUCGUACAAAUCCAAACUCUUUGACUUUCUCAUCGAAGCAAAGAUUCCAUCUGCGAGACGCUUGCUUAAGUCCAUAAAUGGACUUCUCAAGCUUACACACUCUAUUCGGAUGCUUCGGAUCCACAAACCCCUCUGGCUGAGCCAUGUAAACAUCCUCAGCCAACUUUCCGUUAAGGAAAGCGGUCUUGACAUCCAUUUGCCAAAUCUCAUAAUCAUGAAAUGCGGCAAUUGCUAGCAUCACUCUAAUAGAUUUAAUCUUCGCAACUGGUGAGAAGGUCUCAUCAUAGUCAACUCCGGGAGUUUGAGUAAAGCCCUUCGCAACCAAUCGCGCUUUAUAUGUGUGUACGUUUCCAUCCACGUCGGUCUUCUUCUUGAAGAUCCAUUUGCACCCAACGGUCUUACGUCCGGGCACAUAAUCAACCAAAUUCCAAACUUGGUUAUCAUACAUGGAUUGGAUCUCGCUAUCCAUUGCCUCUUUCCAUUUUGCAGACUCCGGGCCUGCCAUGGCUUCCUUAUAGCUAUUAGGUUCAUCAAGAUUUACUAGUGUACCAUCACUAAUAUACGUGUCCCCUUCGGUAGUAAUAUGAAAACCAUAAAACUGGGGAAGAACUCUAACUCUAUCGGAACGUCUAAGAGGUAAGGAUUCGUCAAUCGGUUCAACCGGAGUUUCCUCCUCGGGUUGAGUGCCAGCGGUAGAGGUUCCUUCAUCUAUCGACUCUUGAAUCUCUUCAAGUUCGAUUUGCCUCCCACUGUCUCCUUGGCUUAUGAGUUCUCGCUCUCGGAAAACUCCUCUCCUCGCAACGAAGACAACAUUGUCCUUCGGUCUAUAGAAGAGAUAUCCAAAGGAUGUCUGCGGGUAGCCGAUGAAAAUACAUCGCUCACUUCGAGGUUCAAGCUUGUCGUGAGUAUCUCGUCUUACGAAAGCCUCGCAACCCCAAACCUUGAUAUGUGCCAACGAGGGAGCUUUCCCUGUCCACAUCUCGUGAGGUGUUUUGGCAACCUUCUUAGUAGGGACUCGGUUAAGGAUAUGGGCGGCAGUCUCUAAGGCAUACCCCCAAAAAGAGAUAGGUAGUGAAGCACGACUCAUCAUAGAGCGAACCAUAUCCAAUAAGGUUCGAUUACGCCUUUCUGCCACACCAUUCAACUGCGGUGUCCUAGGAGGCGUCAAUUGUGAAACUAUUCCACACUCCUUGAGAUAAUCGUGGAAUUCAAGACUUAGGUACUCUCCUCCUCGAUCGGAUCGAAGCAUCUUGAUUUUCCUGCCCAAUUGAUUCUCCACUUCAUUCUUGAACUCUUUGAACUUUUCAAAGGUGUCUGACUUUUGCUUGAUUAAGUAGAUAUACCCAUAUCUACUAUAGUCAUCGGUAAAAGUCACAUAGAAGCGGUUCCCAUCCUUCGUGGUUGAUCUAAACGGUCCACAUACAUCGGUAUGUAUUAGGUCCAAUAGACCCUCGCCCCUUUCACAUGUACUCGUGAAGGGUGACUUAGUCAUCUUUCCAAGCAAACAAGACUCGCAUGUGUCAUCUUCCCUAAGGUCGAAUGACUCCAACACUCCAUCCUUUUGGAGUUGGGCUAUGCGUUUCUUGUUGACAUGUCCAAGACGACAAUGCCACAAGGAUGCUUUAUCCAUACUAGUGGAAGAAUCAAUGUUCAAAACAUCAUUUCCUAAGUUAUCAACAAUCAUAACGGUUUCAUAAAUUCCAUUACAUGGUAUAGCUUCAAAGUAAAAGACACCAUUUAGAUAAGCCAAAAUAGAACCAUUCUCAUUAUUAAAAGAAAAUCUAAAACCUUGUCUAUAUAAACCAUGAAAUGAAAUGAUGUUUCUAGCCAUUUCUGGCGAAUAGCAACAAUUGUUCAAAUCUAAACAUAAAUUAUUCCUAAGCACUAAAGAAUACACUCCAAUCUUGGUCACAGGCGACGAUCUUCUGUUCCCCAUGAUUAGAUUGAUCCUUCCUUGCUCCACAUCCCUACUUCUUCUUAGUCCCUGCACAUUAGAACAAAUGUGGUAACCACAACCGGUAUCAAGAACCCAAGAAAUAGCAUGAUUAGAAUCGUUAGAUUUAAUUGUGUAUAUACCUGCGAAAGAUGGCUUGAUCUUUCCUUCUUUGAUUGCUUGCAGGUACUCUGGGCAGCUUCUCUUCCAAUGUCCUAUCUUGUGGCAGUGGUGGCACUCUGCCUCCUUCGGGUUAGGGCAGGGCUUAGCGGGAUCAACUUUGGUCCCACUAGAAGAGGCACCAUCUCGGGCUUUAACCUUGCGAUAGUUCUUAGACGAAGCCUUCCUCUUCUUUCCCUUUCCUUGACCAAUAGCCAAGACAGGAGCAGCGGGUGGAUUGGGAGUUGGUGCAACAGACUUGUCUUUGAAGUUGCUCUCAGCGACCCUCAAGAGACCUUGGAGUUUGCUUAGGGUGACCUCCUCUUUGUUCAUGUGGUAGGUCAUCCUAAAUUGAUUGUACAUCGGAGGCAAAGAGUGAAGCACCAUGUCGAUCGCCAAGUCUUCCCCAAAGUCAACAUUUAACUUGCGAAGGCGGUCGACAUACCUUUGCAUCUUUUGCAGGUGCACGGUAAGAGACUCUCCAUGACCCAUCUUAGCGGAAAUCAUGUUAGUGAAAAUCUCAUAACGCUCUUGUCUCGCGUUUUGGUGGUAUCUCUCCAAUAAGUCUUGAUGCAUCUCGUACGGGUACAUGUCCUCGUAGGACUUUUGGAAUUCGGAGUUCAUGGUGGCUAUCAUGAUGCAAUGUACCUUCGUUGCAUCGCGCUCAUGAGUUUCAAAAGCGGUCAUUUCAGCCGGAGUAGCGAUUUCAGGGUUGAUUUUCUCGAGCUUCUCAUCGAGGACAUACUCCUUAUCCUCAUAGCGAGCAAUGGUGCGAAUGUAUCUUAUCCAUUCGCUAAAGUUCGUUCCAUCGAAGGUGACCUUUUGGCAAAGGCUCAUCAAUGUGAAAGAACUAGCAGCAGCGUUGUUUGCGUUCGACAUCUACAAAUAGAAAGGACAAAGAUAGAUUAGAAUAUGAAUCCCUAAUUAUCACCCAAUAAGAAAAAUUAGGGCUAGGAUCCAACAACAACAUUUACAUAUUAGAAAAGGGAUGCCGUAAUCUAACAUGCAAAUAAAUUGAAGGUAAGUGAAUGACGAUUCACUAAUUCUCCACCAUAAAACCUAACUAUUAGUCCUAAAUGUAUUGAGAAUUCCUAGGUUCGGAUGAGAUUCAUUGAAACUAUUCAAUGGCAUGUUUAAAUCUCGAUAUGCCCCUCUUGUUUGUGACUGGGAUACCGAGGAUCACAAAGCGGGUGUGAAUUACCAUGCAAAUUCACAUGGUGCCUUCAUUGUAACGAUCACCUAUUCGAUGUGCCGGUAAACCACACACGCUCCAUCGAACUAUGAUAAACAAUGAAUCACCCUUUGCCACCUUUGCUUAGAACCAAUUAGUGUGCCGGUAAACCACACACGCUCCACUAACUUCUUAGCAAGGGUGCAAAGUGUAAUUUCAUGGGAUUGCAUCAAUUCACUUUUCCUAAAGUAACUAAGAUUGGGAAAUUUUAAAAUAUGUGUAGUUACUUUGUAUUACUUAUUAUACUUUUAAUGAGAGGAUGAGGUUGCCCUAUCCUACCCGUUCGGCUAACGACCCUCCACCAAUCAAGCAAGCGGUGGGUGUGAGUGUACACCCAUUAAGCGCCAUUUUAUAGGCCGCAACCUUAUACCCACCUUAUAGAUCGGCUUCGUGAAUGAGGCCUACUAACGGUAAGACUAGCAUAUUUAGUUAUAUAUAUAUAUAUUAUUCUUGUAAUAUUAUAUUAGUAUAGGGUUGUAUUUUAAACCUUUUAAAAUCUAGGGUUUGAAAUUUAAAUUGUCUAAAUUAAAACUUUUAAUCACAAAAUAUAAAUUUCAAAACUUGAGGACAAGUUUUAAACAUUUAAAACAUGGAGGAUCAAAUAACAAAUAAUUUCAAUUAACAAUUAAUUUCCUAAUUAUCUAUAUUUGAUUUAUUCAAGAUUUCUUUCAAGAUAAUUACCAAAAUAAUCAAAAUAAUUAAUUAAUUAUCAUAUAAGGAAAUUAAAUAUUUUAUUAGUUGAUAAAUAUCUUUAAUUAGAUCAAGAUAAUAGUCAUAUAUAUCAAAAAAUCGGAUUAGGGUUGAUCUAAUAUGAUUAAGGUAAGUUUCCAUAAGAUAAUCAUGAAGAAAUCCCGAAUCUGGCCAUUCCUGACGCUUGGACUCGCCGAGUGCACCAAGGGACUCGCCGAGUCAGGCCAACUCGCCGAGUCCACUAUGGAACUCGCCGAGUCCAUGACUCAGAAACACAAAAAUCGAAUUUUGCAGUUUAGUUUCAGACAAUUAAGCAACAAUUUAAUGAAAACCAAGCUAGGCUCUGAUACCACUGAUGGGUUUUAGCCAUAAGAACUUUCCUAUGUGCGCAUGCAAAACCCUAAUGCUUGGAUCUAGGCUUUCUAAUUAAACAUGCUUUGAAUCCAAGACUUCUAAUAACUAUUUAGGUGUAAUAACAAUAUUGAAACAGAUCUAGAAUCAUACCUUUGAAUUCCUUGUUGAUCUUGUUGUCUUGGAGCUUCUAGAGUCACAAUUGUCACUCCUCUAAUGGCUUACAAACACCAAAUAGCAAGGAGGAUGAUUUGGGAGAGAGGAGAGGGGAGGAAAUCGGCCAGGGGUUCUAUACUUUAGAUGAAGUGCCGAUUUCCCUUUGCCAUAGGGUCUAUUUAUACUUGUAGACUCCUUAAGGGUUAUAACCUAAACCCUAAUUGGAUAAUCUUCUCUUAAGGCUAUCCAAAUCCAUUCCUUAGAUAACUCUUGGACGAUUUGAGCUAUCCUUUAGCUUCUAGAAUCUGUCCAAUCCAUAUCUAUAUGGAUUUACAGUCUAAAGUUUAACUAUCAAACAAUUGACAAUUUAUACCCUCUUAUUUAAUUAAUCUCUUUAAGUCACCAAAUUAAUUCCAAUUAAUUCUAUGACUUAUAUUAAUCAAAUAACAAUAUAUUAUUCUUUAUAUAUUAUUCUCAUAAUAUACUAAUAAUAUUUACUCUCUCUUAAUAAAUCAUCCUAUCAAGUUGCUAUGGUGAAGGCAACCCAAAAGGACCAUGCACAACCGGGUCACAUACUUGCCUAAUAUAGUUGCAGCCUUAGACACUAUUCC